AUUAAUAAUAUUUAUGGAAAGAGCCAAAAAAUAAAAACAAAACAGUUAUGGUCCCUGGAAGAUAAGAUCCAUAUUUUUUAAAGUGUUGUAUUGGCCAUAAAAUAGUUUGCCGUACAACCUUGACCCGAUGAAAAUAGAAAAGAAUUUCUAUGAUAGGUUUCUUGAUACUUUGUUGGAUAUAAUGGGAAAGUCCAAAUAUCAUGUUAAUUCUCACUAUGACUGG
rnacentral:lncRNA from 1 species